UACGUAGGGGGCUAGCGUUGUCCGGAAUCAUUGGGCGUAAAGAGCGUGUAGGCGGCCCGAUAAGUCCGCUGUGAAAGUCCAGGGCUCAACCCUGGAAUGCCGGUGGAUACUGUCGGGCUCGAAUCCGGAAGAGGCGAGUGGAAUUCCUGGUGUAGCGGUGAAAUGCGCAGAUAUCAGGAGGAACACCAAUUGCGAAGGCAGCUCGCUGGGACGUUACUGACGCUGAGACGCGAAAGCGUGGGGAGCAAACAGG
rnacentral:rRNA from 1 species